AUUGAACGCUGGCGGCAGGCCUAACACAUGCAAGUCGAACGAGUGGCGGACGGGUGAGUAAUGUCUGGGAAAAUGCCCGAUGGCGGGGGAUAACUACUGGAAAAGGUAGCUAAUACCGCAUACCAUCGGAGGUGCCCAGAUGGGAUUAGCUAGUGGGUGGGGUAACGGCUCACCUAGGAGACGAUCCCUAGCUGGUCUGAGAGGAUGACCAGCCACACUGGAACUGAGCCACGGUCCAGACUCCUACGGGAGGCAGCAGUGGGGAAUUUUGCACAAUGGGGGCAAGCCUGCUGCAGCCAUGCCGCGUGUAUGAAGAAGGCCUUCGGGUUGUAAAGUACUUUCAGCAGGGAGGCGUUACUUGCAGAAGAAGCACCGGCUAACUCCGUGCCAGCAGCCGCGGUAAUUC
rnacentral:rRNA from 1 species